ensembl:lncRNA
CACACAGCGCGGGGCUGGGGGUGAGGGGUCCCAGCGGGCAGGGCCAGGCUGGGGGCUCGUCUAUAUCUGUUCUUCUCACAGGGGCAGCGACACCCCAACAGUGGGAGCAGGAAGCAGCUGUCGGCUGCGCCCCCACACUCCUGCCAUGGAGCCUCCUGCCAGCACGGACUCUGUCCAGAAGCUUCUGGGCGGGGGCCUCCUGGGGCCACUGUGGCCACGCCACUCGCUGCUCUCAGGAGGCCCGUGGGCACCCUGGCACCUGGGUGCCCACGCUGCCACUCCUCGAGGUCCCCCUUGAGGACCUGCCCUCGCGUGUCGGUGUCAGAGUGGGUGACUUCUUUACCACUAGCACGAACCCCCCCAGAGGCCAUGGGGAACCAUCAAAGGUUUGGACCUGCGUGCACAAUUAGAGCUGUGUGGUUUCGGAGUGGAGAAUCAAUACAGCAGGCCCUCAUCUCUGCAGUUGACAUUCAGGGAGAGGGAGAGGGACCACGAAGGGCGCUUUGUGAAGAAAAUGGGCCAGUGGGCAGAGCCAGCGCUAAGAGGG